CCUACGGGUGGCAGCAGUGAGGAAUAUUGGUCAAUGGACGAGAGUCUGAACUAGCCAAGUAGCGUGAAGGAUGACUGCCCUAUGGGUUGUAAACUUCUUUUAUAUGGGAAUAAAACGUUCCACGUGUGGGAUUUUGUAUGUACCAUAUGAAUAAGCAUCGGCUAACUCCGUGCCAGCAGCCGCGGUAAUACGGAGGAUCCGAGCGUUAUCCGGAUUUAUUGGGUUUAAAGGGAGCGUAGGUGGAUUGUUAAGUCAGUUGUGAAAGUUUGCGGCUCAACCGUAAAAUUGCAGUUGAAACUGGCAGUCUUGAGUAGACUAGAGGUGGGCGGAAUGCGUGGUGGAGCGGUGAAAUGCUUAGAUAUCGCGAAGAACUCCGAUUGAGAAGGCAGUUUAAUGGACGGCAACUGACACUGAGGCUCGAAAGUGUGGGUAUCAAACAGGAUUAGAGACCCCUGUAGUC
rnacentral:rRNA from 1 species